rnacentral:ncRNA from 1 species
GGAUUCCGAGGAUAGAGGAAGUCGGGGCAACCCGGCUGGGCGCGAAAUUCUCG